ensembl:rRNA 5S_rRNA 5S ribosomal RNA
GUCUAAGGCCAUACCACCCUGAACGCGUCCAAUCUCGUCUGAUCUUGGAAGCUAAGCAGGGUCAGGCCUGUUUAGUACUUGGAUGGGAAACAAUUAAUGGCUAAAGAAAAUGUGGCAUACACA